GACGAACGCUGGCGGCGUGCUUAACACAUGCAAGUCGAACGGAAAGGCCCUGCUUUUGUGGGGUGCUCGAGUGGCGAACGGGUGAGUAACACGUGAGUAACCUGCCCUUGACUUUGGGAUAACUUCAGGAAACUGGGGCUAAUACCGGAUAGAAGCUCCUGCUGCAUGGUGGGGGUUGGAAAGUUUCGGCGGUUGGGGAUGGACUCGCGGCUUAUCAGCUUGUUGGUGGGGUAGUGGCUUACCAAGGCUUUGACGGGUAGCCGGCCUGAGAGGGUGACCGGCCACAUUGGGACUGGGAUACGGCCAAGACUCCUACGGGAGGCAGCAGUGGGGAAUAUUGCACAAUGGGCGGAAGCCUGAUGCAGCAACGCCGCGUGCGGGAUGACGGCCUUCGGGUUGUAAACCGCUUUCGCCUGUGACGAAGCGUGAGUGACGGUAAUGGGUAAAGAAGCACCGGCUAACUACGUG
rnacentral:rRNA from 1 species